rnacentral:rRNA from 1 species
GACGAACGCUGGCGGCGUGCUUAACACAUGCAAGUCGAACGAAGAGCGAUGGAAGCUUGCUUCUAUCAAUCUUAGUGGCGAACGGGUGAGUAACGCGUAAUCAACCUGCCCUUCAGAGGGGGACAACAGUUGGAAACGACUGCUAAUACCGCAUACGAUCUAAUCUCGGCAUCGAGGAUAGAUGAAAGGUGGCCUCUACAUGUAAGCUAUCACUGAAGGAGGGGAUUGCGUCUGAUUAGCUGGUUGGAGGGGUAACGGCCCACCAAGGCGAUGAUCAGUAGCCGGUCUGAGAGGAUGAACGGCCACAUUGGGACUGAGACACGGCCCAGACUCCUACGGGAGGCAGCAGUGGGGAAUCUUCCGCAAUGGACGAAAGUCUGACGGAGCAACGCCGCGUGAGUGAUGACGGCCUUCGGGUUGUAAAGCUCUGUUAAUCGGGACGAAAGGCCUUCUUGCGAAUAGUGAGAAGGAUUGACGGUACCGGAAUAGAAAGCCACGGCUAACUACGUG